CGGCCUGUGAUGAAAUCUAUUUAAAAGAACACCAUCUUUCGGGACUGAAUGGUCUUUCUCGAGAUCUUGAUGUCAAUUCUGCAAUUCUGAGGCCA